CCAUCUUCAGACCAGAUACAACACCCUGACCAAAGAGAGAGAACAACUAAAGAAAGAGACAGAACGUCUGAAACAAUCUUUGGUUGAGAAAGAGUGUCCGCAAGGAUGGAAGAAGCUUGGUAGCCGUUGUUACUACAUCUCUAGUAAGAAGAACACCUGGGAGAGGAGCAGACAGGACUGCAGAGAUAGAGGAGCAGACCUGGUGAUCAUCAACAGCCAAGACAAACAGACAUUUGUCAAUUGGUUAUGUGGAGUAAAGAAAUAUGUCUGGAUUGGUCUGACUGACUCUGUUACUGAGGGGACCUGGAAAUGGGUGGACGACACACCACUGACCACAAGGUACUGGAAGAGUGGAGAGCCUAAUGGUGGUGUAGCUGAGAACUGUGCGUAUUUCUACUCCUGGUCAUCAUACAAAGGAGCAUGGUG